rnacentral:sRNA from 1 species
CUUGGUCAUUUAGAGGAAGUAAAAGUCGUAACAAGGUUUUCGUAGGUGAACCUGCGGAAGGAUCAUUAGUGAAACACAAGAGUGCUCUUCAUUGAGGCUCGUUUUAACUAUCCAUUACACUUAGUGCACUUGAAAUCUUAUAUUCUUCAAAUACCUUCACGGGUUGUCGAAGUCUAUAACACACAUACAUAACCCCUUUGAAUAUUUAAUAAGAGAUGAGGAUGUAAAUAACCAAUGAAAUUUGAAAGAACAACUUUCAGCAACGGAUUUCUUGGCUCUCGCAUCGAUGAAGAACGCAGCGAAAUGCGAUACGUAAUGUGAAUUGCAGAACUCAGUGAAUCAUCGAAUUUUUGAACGCACCUUGCGCUCUCUAGUUAUUCUGGAGAGCAUGCUUGUUUGAGUAUCGCGAACCUCUCAACCCCGCCAAAGGCUUUAUUGACUUUGGUUGUUUGGGCUUGGAUCAUGGUUGUUGUUGGCCUUUGGGUCUAACUCGACUGAAAUACAACAAGUUGAAUAGAAUUUAUUGCGGCUUGACCUGAUGUUGUAAACUACUCAUCGGGGACGCUUUAAAAAGUCUAAGGAACUUUAACAGAAACCCUUUUGCUCUAGUCGAGGAUCACUCUUUCGGGAGCCCUUACACUUUAGUACAUUUAUGAUCUCAAAUCAAGUAGGACUACCCGCUGAACUUAAGCAUAUCAAUAAGCGGAGGAAAAGAAACUAACAAGGAUUCCCCUAGUAACGGCGAGUGAAGUAGGAAAAGCUCAACUUUGUAAUCUGGCUGUCUUUGGCAGUCCGAGUUGUAGUCUAGAGAAGUGUUAUCCGCGCAGCCCCUUAUAGAUUUCGGUUGGAAUGCCAAGUCAAAGAGGGUGAGAAUCCCGUAUUUGAUAAGGUGGGCUUGUGCAUUGUGAUACAUUUUCAAAGAGUCGAGUUGUUUGGGAAU